rnacentral:rRNA from 1 species
UACAUGGGGUGCAAACGUUGCUCGGAAUUAUUGGUCGUAAAGCGCGCGUAGGCGGUUACUCAAGUCGGAUGUGAAAGCCCUCGGCUUAACUGAGGAAGUGCACCCGAAACUGAGUAGCUAGAGUACUAAAGAGGGUCGCGGAAUUCCCGGUGUAGAGGUGAAAUUCGUAGAUAUCGGGAGGAACACCGGUGGCGAAGGCGGCGACCUGGGUAGAUACUGACGCUGAGGCGCGAAAGCGUGGGGAGCAAACAGG